rnacentral:rRNA from 1 species
UACGGAGGGGGCUAGCGUUGUUCGGAAUUACUGGGCGUAAAGCGCGCGUAGGCGGACCUGCAAGUCGGGGGUGAAAUCCCGGGGCUCAACCUCGGAACUGCCUUUGAUACAGCAAGUCUUGAGUUCGAGAGAGGUGGGUGGAAUUCCUAGUGUAGAGGUGAAAUUCGUAGAUAUUCGCAAGAACACCAGUGGCGAAGGCGGCUCACUGGCCCGAUACUGACGCUGAGGCACGAAAGCGUGGGGAGCAAACAGG